rnacentral:rRNA from 1 species
UACGUAGGGUGCGAGCGUUGUCCGGAAUUACUGGGCGUAAAGAGCUCGUAGGUGGUUUGUCGCGUUGUCCGUGAAAACUCACAGCUUAACUGUGGGCGUGCGGGCGAUACGGGCAGACUAGAGUACUGCAGGGGAGACUGGAAUUCCUGGUGUAGCGGUGGAAUGCGCAGAUAUCAGGAGGAACACCGAUGGCGAAGGCAGGUCUCUGGGCCGCAACUGACGCUGGAGGAGCGAAAGCAUGGGGAGCGAACAGG